rnacentral:snoRNA from 1 species
GGCCUCUUGCCCGUUGGGCUGCUGGGGAUCGCAUCGCUCCUCAGCCAGGGCUGGAGGCCAAAAUCAGCCCUGGAGGAGCAUCGUCAAGAGCUGCCACGAGUGGGCAGCCUUGUUUUCCUGCCUCGGACAUGU